UACGAAGGGGACUAGCGUUGUUCGGAUUUACUGGGCGUAAAGCGCGCGUAGGCGGAUCGCUAAGUCAGGGGUGAAAUCCCAGGGCUCAACCCUGGAACUGCCUUUGAUACUGACGAUCUGGAGAUCGGGAGAGGUUGGUGGAAUUCCGAGUGUAGAGGUGAAAUUCGUAGAUAUUCGGAGGAACACCAGAAGCGAAGGCGGCCAACUGGCCCGAUACUGACGCUGAGGCGCGAAAGCGUGGGGAGCAAAUAGG
rnacentral:rRNA from 1 species